CGUCCCUCGCCUCCAAAGAGCCGUGCUAUGAUGUUUGUGUGGCAAGCUCCGAUCUUGUUCAUCACAAGCUUUUCGUUCGUUUUAUUAACUGAGAAGUUAUUUUUAUUUGGUUACAGAGAUACUUUUAUUUUUCCAAAGAAUUUGAUUAUUAAAUGAUAGCAACUCGUAAUUGAAAAUUGCUUAUCUAUAAUUCUGAGGUAUAAAUGUGUAAUUUGAAAUUGGUUUUACAGUGAAAAAUGUUCAAAGACAAGCUACCGUAUUCUAUUAGGAUUCUUCUUGAGUCAGCCAUCCGGAACUUUGAUAACUUCCAGGUCACAAAGAAUGAUGUCGAGAAGAUUAUUGACUGGGAGAAUACCUCCCCAAAGCAAGUUGAGAUUCCAUUUAAGCCUGCAUGUGUUCUUCUGCAGGAUUUUACUGGUGUGCCAUCUGUUGUCGAUCUGGCCUGUAUGCAAAAUGCUAUA